GAAAAUCUGAGGAAAUGGCAAUGAAUUAAAGGAAGAAUUAUAAAACUCUCACUGAGCAUUUAAAACUUCUCAAAGCUGGAUUUGCUGGGUUAAGUGCUGAAAAUCCUAUCUCCUGGGAACACUUCUUAUACCUGCACAAACCAAGAUGCUUGAUGAAAUGCUGUGCCACUAAGAUGUUGAGUAAUUUGCCCAAAGUCACACAGCUGAUAAAGUGUGGAGGCUGGUUUCUCCAGUGCUACAGCAGGCGGAAUUUUACUGCUGAGGUUGUGAGGGAGAAAGCAGCUUCCAAGGGGGCCCAGGAGGACAUAUACCUGCUAUAUUUGAAAAGCAAGCAGCCAGCAUUUUGAAUGGUAUAUUGGAGCAUAAUAAGGCUUUCUAAAUAAAUCAGGUGUAGAGCUGAUUAAUAAUAUUUCAUGUAAAUGCAUAAGCAAAUUGUAAUUUACCUUCAUAUGAGGCAUAAAUUAUUUGUUACAACCUAAAAAGAAGUGUGAAGAGACAAUUCAGAGGAGAACCUUUAGCUUAAUGCUUAACUGCCAAGCCUUGUGCAAGCUACCAUCAGAGACAUCUGACACCUACUGUGACCAAAGCACAUACCUGACAGGUUAUAUGUUUCCUAAAGCCACCAUUUCAAAUUGAAGUUGUGAACCUGAAGGUAGAAAGAUUGAGAGUGGACCUAGAAGACUUCUAUUCCCAAGUAUUCUAUUCCAAUUUCUCUGCCUGCUUUAUCACUACCGUGAUCAUUACCGUCACCGCCAUUGGCAGUUAGGUCUCUCUACUGUUCCAUGAGGAAACCUCAGGUGUCAAUAAUGAAUGAAUGUACACUAAACAGUGGCCUUCAUCACUAUUUUGAUAUAUGCAAAAUAUUAUUGAUAUUAUUUUUAGUUACGGUAUUACCUAAAUUAAAGUGCUUUAUGUGAACAUAAACAUGUUUGCUUGGUGAAAUUUUGACUGUCCCAAUU